AUUCUAAAGUGGACGUUUUGUAAAAGUCACAUUAUUUUUUUUUUGUUUUUUUCAGUCAAUUUUUAUUAUUUUAUCAAUAUUUUAUUUAUCUUUUGAAAACCAAUCCACCCGAGAACCAAACAUAUUGACGGAUUAUGACACGUGGAAUAUGAUGUUGUAUUCGUUAUCAAUCGUCAUGAACAUGCAUGAAAUACUUGCCACUGUACGUUUUAAGCAACCAACAAUCAAUCAAGCAAUCAUAUCCCAAGUAAGUAUAUUUUGUCAUUAAAGGAAUCAGAGCUGAUAUACAGAAACUACUUAAGUUAAGAUAUCCAAUCGAAGUACUAAUUUAUCGUAGGACAAAUCUGUCCAUUCGAAACAAAUCUUAAAUAAUUUUAUGCAUAUCAGCCCUGAAAAUCUAGAAAUUCUACCAUCUUUGUAUAUUCAAUUGACAUACUUGUAUGACAAACAUUUAAUAUACACGAACCUUCUAGCAUUCAACGAAACAAUAUUUAUUACAUAAUAGUGUUGUCAACGGUUAACCGGUUAACCGGUUAACCGGUCGAACGACCGAAUACCGAAUACCAAAAACGCUAACCGGUUAACCGGACUUUUUUUUUCAAUUUUGAUAGAUUUUAUAUAAAUUUGAAUUGAAAUCAUUAAAAAGUUAGGUUUUAUUUAAAAAAAUGUCGUCGUGGUAAUUUAUUUGACAGAUCAGUUGUCCAGUAAAUUGAUUGCUAUUGUUAAUCCUAUAAACAUAAAAUUAAUUAGAACUUGUCUCUCAGCUCGGGGCAGAAUCUUAAAUAAACAUAAUUAGUAUACAUGUUUUUUAGCAGUAACUCUAAAUCAGUGAUGCGAUUAAAUUUUACGAUUUUCUUCAUUAUUUCGUUUCUGAUCUAAUAUUGUGUAAACCUACAUCUAAAUGUGCAACCUCCGUCGUGUAAGGCUUAGUCUUACUUUAAACGAAAUGCAAACUCAAAAAUUUUGAAAUGCAAACUAAUGUGAAUGUACUCAAUGUAUACGUGAUAGUACGAGUAACAUGCAAACAAAGUAAAGAAACAGGCCGUACGGUGACCUAUAGUUGUUAAUUUUUGUGUCAUUUUGAUCUCUUGUGGAGAAUUGUCUCAUUGGCAAUCAUACCACAUCUUCUUUUUUUAUAAUUAAUCACUCAAAAUGAAACACUCCACAUCAUUUUCGGAGACAACAAGUGAAAAGGAAAGAAUAAUCAGUUUCUGACAUAUUCAAUUCUACGAGAUCAAGAAGUUUUUUUAAUUUAAUUUUCAAUCUGAAGUUGGUACAAACGCUAUAGUUGAUACGGUGUAGUUGAUUAUUAAAAGUCAAACUUCGCCAGGAAUCCUCACAGACAAACCUGAUAAUGCCAGAGGACAAACUUCAAUUCUAAAAGCGUAAAUUUAUGACUUGGAUAAAAGGUUGCCAAAUUGACACUCAUACCACAUCUUAUAUCUAUGUGUAGGGUACUAUUGAUAAGGCUUGCAAGCACCAACUCAAACUACCGGUUAACCGGUUAAUCGGUCGAACGAUUAUCCGAGUAACCGGUUAGGCAAACGUGUACGAUUUGACAACACUAUUACAUAACAAACAAAAUGAUGGGUGUUAUAUAAUUUGAAUGAAAUUCAACAAUGAUUAAGGCCAGAUGAGAACAAUAUAAGAACUUCCUGGUAUCAAAGAAAAUCACGAACAGCUACUAGUUUUAAAUAAGAUCCAAAUAAAGAAACUAUUACAGUGAUAUACUAGUAUGAUAACUAUAAAUCAUGUAAACAUUUUAAAGCGAAAAAGAUAUCUAAAAAUACACAAAUUGUAUUUACAUUUAAGACAUUCAAAAUAUAAAUGCAGUAUUGCAUGACGUAAUUAUGGAGUAAAACAUAUGUUGAUAGGCAACUUCAUAUCUGAUUUGGAAAACAUUUAUUGGAUGAAGAUUUUCUUAUCGGAUAAACGUAGCUUAACAUUUUACCAAUUAUUUUCCCUUCAAUUCAACGGAGCAUUUAAUGCAAAAGUAAUAAGUUAAGAUUUUCAUAAUUCUUGGCAGUUGAAUCAUUAGAAACAGUUUGUGCCUAUUAUUUAUUUCCACCAUUUGCUAUAAAUCACAUGGUAAGAAGCAAUAGACGUCAAGUCCCAGUGAAGAUACAAUAAUUUUUAAAACAGAUAGAUUGAUUGUUUUAUUUCCAGCACGUUUAAUUUGACUAUACCACAGCGUUCACUUUUAAUUUAUAGAGGAAGCACGAAUACCAGGGCAAAACUCACAAACGUCGACAAGAAAACGGACAAUCCUAGUCAAUUACGACCAGAGGGUAGUGCACAUGACCAUAAACCUUGAUAUUACCAACAUCACUCGCCCAUCGAGGCCCCUCAUCUAUUAAAGCACAAACAAUAGUAAUAUGAUAUUAAACUCCCAGCAGUAGAGACUAUGUCUAAACGGGCAGAAUUAAAUAUAUUUACUCUUUAUCAUACAAUUUUAAGAAGAUUUUCAGUUUUUAACAGCGGUAUACUACUGUGGUCUUUAUUUAUCAAGAUUCGGUAUAAAUGCAUAUUUAUAUACAAAUGUAAUUAGAAAAAAUUCUGAUAUAAGAAGAAAUCUCAUAAAAAUCAGACAAAAGUUAAACUCAGUUUGUCGUAGUUAUUCAAGAAGGACGAAAGAUACCAGAGGGAAAAUCAAACUCAUAGAUUGAAAAAUAAACUGACAACGCCAUGGCUGAAAAUAAAAAGACAAAGAGACAAAUAAUUGUACAGAAGACACAACAUAGAAAACUAAAGACUAAGCAAUACGAGCCCUACCAAAAACUUGGGGCGAUCUCAGGUGCUCCGGAAGGGUAAGCAGAUCCCGUGGCACCCGUCGAGUUGCUUAUGUUAUUACAAAUCAGGUAAAUAGUCUAAUUCGGUAGGUCACAUUCGUGAAAAAGGUAAGGGUAUUGUAGUUACGACAUAAGGAACAUAUCCGAUAUCAUCUGUGAAACAGUUAUUCAAUAACGGUCAACCAACUCGUGAUGACGUCCGUAAAAUUUACGAACGGAUGAUUUCAACUUCACCAUUUGGAACUCUUGGUUUAAUAGCUUCCUUGUUGUAUUCAAGUUAUGUAUUGUCUGUUCAUAUGUUUCCUGAAGCAUUUUUGCAUCCCAAGCUUUCUAUUUUUUGUUUUUAACAAUUAACAUAGUAGUAAGUGCUUCACCACUGCCAAGAAUUUAAAUUUCUCGUUAAAAAUUUAGAAAAUCAUCAAAAGCAUUUAGGUUUCUUCACACUUAGGACUAACCUGAAAUGGCAAUUUAGUAUUUUGUGUAUGUCAUUUAUAUUUAUUUAUCCCCCGUUUUCUAAUUUUAGGUUUGACAAAAAACCAGGAAAGUAUUAAAAUCAGAAAUCCAAUGUAUAGUCAGACCAACACAAAAGUGAAAACAGUUGGUGUUAAUAACUAAUAUCGGAGUAGGACACAACAUGCGUCUGCAGAUCAAAUUCCUUCUGCAAUGAGUGCAUUACCGUCCAUUCGAUUAAAAAAUCAAAUCAAUAAUAUCGGAUGGUUGUCUAGGCCUUUGGCAGAUUGUAAACGAUAGUAAAAAACUAUAAAAAAAACAACUAUGAAAGCUUUAAUACUAUCUAGUAAUAGUGAUUACUAGUAAAACUGGUUGACUGAUAGUCCUUGAGGAAAUCACCAGCCCAGUAGUCAGUACUUUGAUACUGGCAUGCAAAUAUAGAUUUUGUUAUUAAAAUUGAAGAACGUAUCUCCCUCAUGCAAAGCUCUGACUCAUUGCCCUGCUUUAGCUAAACUUUUUUGUCCUUUUAGGUUUAUUGUUUUUCAUCUUUUUAAUAAGUUUUGGCUUUUCAAAUAUUUUGGCCUUGAGCAUCACUGAAGAGACAUUGAUUGUCCAAUCGCGCAUCUGGCGCAGGAACAUUGGUACUGUUUAUGUUAUAAAUCUUGCUGAUGUAUACAUUGGAGUUGGACUAAAGCUGUAUUAAAAGUAAACAAACCACUGUAUUAAUUUCGUGUGUCCACAUGACUAUUCUGGAUUUAACUCCACUCGGGAGGUAUAAGACCUACAUAUCCAAUCUUUCAAAAUUUGUCUCAAAGUGUUGAAGCAUCAUGAAAACAUGACUUCAAUGUACAUGCAGGUGGUAUGUUUCAUCAUCAGCUAAGUAGUAAGCAAAAAACGCAUCAUAUACACCAAGACUGAUAUUUUGUGUUAACGCCAAGCGCACGUUUUGUAUUCUGAAUUCUGAAUUGAAAAGAAAAGUCAUUGAUAUGUUCAUCUCUGUAAUUUUACAGUUUACGUAUUGUUGAA
rnacentral:lncRNA from 1 species